GUUGGUGCAAAUUUUGUCCCAAUUUAUUAUGUGAAAAUUCCAACUGAUGACGAUCCUCUUAGGACUUGGGUUUCUCUUUGCUGGAUUUGACGAUGAUAAGUUUAUCUUUUGGGCCGAUCUUAAUGGGCAUUUAUAUAUCAUCUUCUGAGUUCACUUCCUUAGAUAAUGAGAAUGUGUUUGUCCAGUAAUACUCUAUAAACACAAAAAAAAGAUCAAAGAGCCGGCUUUACUGGUGUAAACCCUCCGCCGAUUAAGUCGGUCAUUGGACUUUUGGAAAUGUAAAUUUAGAAAGAGAAAGAUUAGAGAGUUCUAGUUAGUGUUUUUUCUUUUGAGUCCAUUUUUUUCUUAUUUUUUAGUGAGAAAGAAAGGUAUAUUUAUGAGCGAAUUUGAUUUGACUUGAGUUCUAGUUAUUUUCAUGACAAGUGUCAUUAUUCUUAUCAUAUUUGGCAACACUUGUUUGUUUGUUUGUUUGUUUGUGCCCACGUUAAUUGACAUAUGAAUGUGCAAACUUGUUUAUAGAUUUAAGAAAGAAGUGUUUUAACGUUAGGUUGUUUUUACUAAAACUCUGGGAUGAUGGGAACCUUAGAACCUAAGAGAUUUAUUCUAAGUAGUUUGUCUGAGGAUAGGAGCCUAGAACCUCGAUAUCUUUUGGGUUUUGAAGUCUCAUCAUCUAAGAGAAUUAUCCUAAGUGGUUCGUCUUAUGAUAGGAUCCUAGGACUUUAAAACCUUUUAGCCUUGGACUUUGGGACUCUUUAAACUUUGAAACCUUGUUACUUAGGAAGAUUAUUCUAUGUGGUUUGUUCACCAUUUUGCAGGCUUAAUUGAGAGUAAAUUUAUUAGACGGGCCUUAUUGAGAUUAAAUUUAUUUGGAUUUUGAUUGGGCUUAUUCUAUUUUUUGUCCAACAAAGAGAAUAGUAAGAUAUUUAUUUAAAUGUUUUAAUAGAUUCAGCAAAUUUUGAUUAACAGUUCUUGCUUUUAUUUAUGCACUUCGACUUUUGAAAACAUCCAAAAGGAUCUAUAGAUGAAAUUUAUAAGCUCAUCCCAUGUAACUUAGUUUACAGUCAGGCCAUUAUUCGGGUGGUCCCAACAUAUGGCGUUGACUUUUUUAAGUUACAUGGCCAUGGCCCAAGAUAUUAACAUUGAGUUGAAGGUUUACAAACAAUGAGAUGACGAAAGAGAGGUGAUAUUUUACACCUCAAUUUUUCUUAUCAAUCUCUAUUAUUUAGUUAAUUUUAUUUACAUUUAAAAUUAUUUUUAUUAAAUGAUAAAAAUAUGAUAAAAAUUUUCCAAAAAUUCUAUCCACCUUUCACCACUAUUGUCACUGCCUAAACCACCAUUUGUUUUAUCACUCAUUACAAUCUCAACUGCUUUUAUUACUAACUCAUUUUCAUUAUCUGUCAUUCAUUCCAUUUAAUUUAAUGAUUUUUUGAUUUCCAUAUUAAAAUUAUUCUUUACCUCUUUUCAUUUGAUGUUAUUUUAAUUUUGAUACUAUCAUAUCAAUCUCACUAAAAUCAAUUCAAAUAAAUGAGGAGUUUUGGUCCCAAUUGAUGGAAAAUUUGCUAGUGCUAGUAAGGUCAGUCCAGAAUUAAAGUUUAGUGUCGCAGGUGGCUAGAUUUUUUUAAAUUGUAUUUUUUUAAUUUUUUUAUUGUUUAACAAAGGUUGUAGAAAUAAGUGAGAAAUCUAUGCUAACACUAUUAUUCACUACUUACCACAUGUAUAUGUGUGUCAUUAUAAUUAGUUUAAAUAUAUGUAUAGAAAGGAGCAAAUAAAAGAUGAACAAUGCUCCUAGAGUACUUAAGAAUUUUUCCAGAAAUUGGUGUUAAGCAAAUAAAAGCACCAGGUCGGCCAUGCUAUUAUUUCCACCCCGGCAUGAAUCACCUCAGCCAAAUGGUACGAGCAGAACAGGGGGCAACAUGAGCCGAGCACAGACGAAUACUGACCAGAGGUAUAUACCGAGCCGAUACCCGUCCCCCAAAAAGCGAAAACACGAUCUCACAGAAUCGCGGCAGUUGCGCUUUCCCAGAACCGUUGCGGGAGACGCGAGAUCCCACGUUUGUCCAUAACGCAGCAGUUAGAGUCCCAUGAGGGGCUGCCACUACCCGAAAAAGGUGGGAUGAAGGGCAAACGGAAACGUGAGGACAGCGGCUAUAAAAGAAGAAGAAAUCGACGAAGAAUGGGACAGAAAAUCUGGGAGAGGGAAAACGCUGCCAAAUUGCAACCAGGCCAUUUCCUUACAAAUUUCUAACAAAUUUCUUAAAUCCAAAUUACACUGUUUUCCCGUAAACACCUUAUGCUAACUUAGGCAUCAAAGGGUUUACGCCGGCAAAACCACCGGCGUCUCUGACCCAUUUUUGUGAACGCAGAUCUAGUGAGAGAAAGGAGGGUGAUUCCAACCCUAGUGGUUCGAGCAAACAGUCGAUAACAUAAAUGUUGGUGACAGAAUCUGGUCGGUCCAAGGGCGAGCAGAUUUCAGCAUCAACAUUUUGGCGCCGUCUGUGGGGAGCUGGAUAAAAAACUACCACCGAAUUAGGAAGUACCGGAGAAACAGCGAACGGUUAGACAUGGAUGUGACGAGGAAGGACGCUUUGAUGGAGGAUAACGAAGCUGGGGAGACAAUCACUCUUCGGGAGAUUGCAAAUGAAGCCCAGGAGAGGGUGAUGCAAGAUUAAUUAGAACGGAUGGAGAGACAAAUGGAGACUCUCACGACCAUACUAUACGAGCUGAGGGAUGAACGGAGAAGAGAUUGUGAAACCCCCGCGAGGAGAGAUGAUGUUGGAACGGAACCUAGCCUCCGGAGGCGUAGGGUCGAGGAAAUCCCUCCGCUGGCAGACCAACCUAAUGGGGUGCAUCCCCACAGAAGCACUAGCCGGGUUCCAGGAGAACGAUUAAAUGAAGGAAGGGACCAACUUCUCCCCGGACAGGUAUUGGAAGUCAAUAGCCGAGGGGCCAGUGCUGACGAAGGAGAGCUCAGACAGCGGUUGCAUAAUGCCGAGCUGGAACGAGACCAGAUAGCUGCACGUGACCAUGGCCGUGCCAUUGAAUUGGAGGGGGAAGUGCGCAGAUUGGCACAGGUGAUGGAGGAGAUACAGGGCAGGAGAAAGCCCCCGAGCUGGAGGAUAAUGCUAGAUGAAGAAUCUCCAUUAUCAACCGAGAUCAUGGGUACCGUAAUCCAAAAAGACUUCCGCUUCCCCGACCUCAAAUACUCCGGGCGAAGUGACCCGCUGGUGCACAUCGAGCGUUUUAAAGACAUGACGGGUGUGCAGGGGCUGACACCGGCUCAGAGGUGCAGGGUGUUCCCAUUGACACUGGAGGGACGAGCUCGAGAAUGGUAUCGCAAGUUGCCCCGAGGAAGUAUAAAGGGGUACGAGCAGAUGUGCCAGGAGUUGGCCGAACAGUUCCGAGGAGCAGUAGCCCCAGAAGACGACAUGAUGGAACUGAUGGGGAUAAAACAGCAUGAGCAUGAGUCCCUACGGGAUUUUGUAAAGCGAUACCACCGAGCUGUACUUGAUUUGGGAGCUUUCAAUCACCCGCAGGCGUUGAGGGGAUUAAAGGAGGGUGUGAGGAUAGGCCGGCUAUGGUAUAACCUGAGAAGCCCCCUAGUGCAGAGUUAUUCAGCAGGGUAUGAGCAGGCAAAGAGGGACAUCGAAAUCGAAGAAGAAAAAUCGGCAAGGAUAAAGAGUGAACAGCUGGAGGAGCUGAGACGAAAGGAAAGGAGAGCUCCGAGUGGGAGCGGGUCGGGAAAGCGAGUUGGGGAAUCCUCAGUAAGGGGUAGCUCGGUCCCGCCCUUACCCCAUAGCUCCGAGAUCACAACAGUUCCAGUACAACCGGGCUCAACCUCCGCAUCCCCCAUUCCCGGAUCGACAGCGAGAAUUCCGGCAGAUGGCUGCCGACCCCUAUCACAACACUCCCAGAGCAUUACAUACAACCAAUUCCAGGGCUAGACGACCAGAUCAGUCAGCGACUAUGCCAGCCCGAGGUGACGUUCAUGAUAGCCGAGCAGUUCAGCUGGUAGACCAGAGCUUGGCAUAUAGACAAUACACUCCAUUAAAGAUCUCCAUGGAGGAAGUGUAUGAGAGGAUCGAGGGACGAGGCCUGCUGUACCCUCCAGCCCCAAUAACAAAACCGACUCACCGACGGGAUAAGAGCAGAUUCUGCAAGUUCUACGACACUCACGGUCACACUAUCAGCCAAUGUCGGGACCUGAAAAUUCAGGUGGAGGAUUUAGUGAGGAACCGUUACUUGGACGAGUAUGUAGAUGGAAUGUCCCCUAUCAUAGAAUCACAGUACCCACAGGAUGUAGGAGUUGAGAGGGAUCUAGAACGUGAACAGCCGACCAUCCGUGUGAUAGCAGGAGGGCCAACAUUGGCCGGGGACUCGAACAAAGCACGGAAGAACUAUGGGAGAUACGCCAUGACUGGCAAAGAGGUGCUUUUAAAUUUGCCAGCGGCCAAGAAGGCAAGACUGCUGCAAGUUCUCAUUAUGUGGACGGAGGAUGACGAAGAAGGCAUUCUAUAUCCUCACGAGGAUGCACUGGUGAUUAAGGCAUUGGUGGCUGGUACAGAAUUGCGGUGAAUAUUGGUAGACACGGGCAGCUCAGUAGACAUUCUGUUUAAGUCGGCCCUAAAUGAUAUAGGGAUUUCAGAUUUGAAGCUGGAGCGGACGAAUACAUCCUUGAAGGGGUUUGGAGGGGGAUGGUUAACUCCCAUGGGGGUCAUUGAACUCCCGAUUACUGUGGGGACAAAGCCAUUUGAAAGAAUGAUGAUGCUGGACUUUGUCGUGGUAGAGGAAAGAAGUCCUUACCAGAUGAUAUUGGGGAGACCGUUCAUGAGAAUAAGCCAAUGCGUAAUGUCCACGCAUUAUCUGGCACUAAAAUACAGAAUAAACGGAGUUGUGGGUGUAGUAAAGGGUGACCAGAGAAUGGCCAGGAGCUGCUAUGCUACAGCGGCCAAGGAAACACUGCAAGUUACCUCUCUAGAUAACCGAAGGGAUUCAAAGAACGGUCGCCAGGAACCUGUUGAGAAGCUGGAGGAAGUUGUUGUAAGCAGGAAUGACCCUAGCAGAGUGGUUAAGGUCGGAUCAGAAUCGGGCGAGGCAAUAAAAGGCGAGCUGGUAAAGUGUCUACAGUCCCAUGCAGACAUAUUUACCUGGUCUCAUGAGGAUAUGCCAGGUAUUAAUCGCGGGGUAGCUUGUCACAAGCUGGCAGUCAAGAAAGGGGCAAGGCCGGUGAGGCAGAAAAGGAGGUGCUUCAACCAGGAAAGAUACGAGGCCAUAAAUGCCGAGGUGGAAAAGCUGCUGAAAGCAGGAUUUAUAAGGGAAGCCAAAUACCCGGAAUGGAUUUCAAACGUAGUACUGGUAAAGAAGGCCAAUGGGAAGUGGAGAAUGUGUGUAGACUUCAUGGACCUCAACAAGGCAUGCCCGAAGGACAGCUUUCCCCUACCAAAAAUAGAUCAGUUGGUGGACUCAACCGCGGGUCAUAGUCUGCUCAGUUUCAUGGAUGCCUUUUCCGGAUACAACCAGAUACCCAUGGACGAGCAGGAUGAGGAAAGCACUACCUUUAUCACUAACAUGGGUCUGUUUUGUUACAGGGUGAUGCCCUUUGGUCUGAAAAAUGCAGGAGCUACCUAUCAAAGGCUAGUGAACAAGGUCUUCAAACCAUUGAUCGGUCACACUAUGGAAGUAUACAUGGACGAUAUGAUCACCAAGUCAAGGGAACCGAAAGAUCAUGUGAAGCACUUGAAAGAGACCUUCGAAUUGCUGAGAAUGUAUGAAAUGAAGCUGAACCCGGAGAAAUGUGCAUUUGGGGUCAGCUCAGGUAAAUUUUUGGGAUACCUGGUGAGCCAUCGAGGGAUUGAGGCCAACUCGGAAAAGAUAUGGGCGGUGAUAGAAAUGUGGUCUCCACGAACAGUUAAGGAGGUGCAGAGCCUUACGGGCAAAUUGGCAGCAUUGAACCGAUUCAUUUCGCGAGCCACUGAUAAGUGCCACCCUUUCUUCCAAAUCAUAAAGAAAGGGAAGAAGAUGGAAUGGACACCGGAAUGCGAGGAGGCAUUUGGACAGCUGAAGGAAUACUUGGCCCUCGCCAUGUUACUCUCAACUCCGAGAGAGGGUGACCAGCUGCUUUUGUACUUGGCAAUCUCCAAGCGGGCUACCAGCUCGGUCUUGGUCAGGGAAGAAGAAGGGAAGCAGCACCCGGUAUACUACACAAGCAAGGCUUUGGUAGACGCAGAAACCAGAUAUCCACUAAUGGAGAAGUGGGCGCUGGCUCUGGUAACGACAGCACGCAAGCUGCGACCAUAUUUCCAAGCCCAUCAGAUCGUUGUGACGACUGACCAGCCCCUUCGGCAAGUGCUUCAAAAACCAGAUGCGUCAGGUCGAUUAGUAAAAUGGUCCGUAGAAUUGAGCGAAUUUGACCUGUCCUACAGUCCCCGAGGAGCAGUCAAGGCCCAAGCCCUGGUAGAUUUUAUGGUUGACUGUGUUGAACCAGGGGAAGAAGUCCAAGAGGAACAACCCGCAGAACAGGAGGAUUCGAAAGGGAUAUGGCUGGUAAUGGUUGACGGGUCACGUAGUGAACAGGGAUCCGAGGCAAGAGUUAUAAUACGAAGCCCAGACGGUGUUGAGGUAUCCUACGCGGUAAAAUUUGAAUUCCAGCUUACGAACAACCAAGCUGAAUAUGAUGCCUUCAUUACUGGGCUCGGUCUCGCACAUGCACUACGAGCAGAAAGGGUAGAAAUCCGAGCAGAUUCCCAACUAGUAUGUAACCAGCUCAGCGAUCAGUUCCAAGCAAGGGGGGAGAAGAUGGGUCUUUAUCUAAAGAAAGCAAAACAGAUGGUUGGGCUUUUUCAAGAGGUGGAGGUAAAGCAGAUAUCUCGGAAUGAGAAUUACCGAGCAGAUAUGUUGGCUAGGAUGGUUGCAAUUGCAGAUCCGAAAUUUCCUAAGUCAGUUCCACUAGAGGUAAAGACCUCGCCAAGCAUAGGAGAGGAGAUAGAGGUGAUGAGAGUAAGCAUUGGAGAGUCAUGGAUGGACCCGAUCCGCGCAUAUAUCCGGGAUGGAAUCUUAUCGGAGGACAAAAGGCAAGCAAGGAUAUUAAAAUGCCGAGCAGCGAGGUACACGCUACUAGAUGGAGUGCUGUAUCGCCGAGGGUUCACCUUGCCCCUUUUGAGAUGUGUGGAUGAUGAGGAGGUGGAUUAUGUGCUGAGGGAGAUUCAUGAGGGAAUAUGCGGCAAUCACUCGGGAGCAAGAACUUUAGCCUUCAAGGCACUCCGGCAAGGAUACUUUUGGCCAACCAUGCACCAGGAUGCGAAAAGGAUGGCAAAGAAUUGUAAAACAUGCCAAAGCUUCUCCGAGGUUCUUGUACAACCCCCGGAAAAGCUGACGGCUAUGACAUCCCCGUGGCCUUUCACUCAAUGGGGAAUCGACUUGAUUGGUCCAUUACCUAAGGGACGAGGAGCGGCGACACAUGCAAUUGUGGCAAUAGAUUUUAUUUGGAAAAAUAUCAUCUGCAGAUAUGGGAAUCCUCAGCCAGAUCACAGAGAGAAAGACAACAGAUUUUAUUUGGAAAAAUAUCAUCUGCAGAUAUGGGAUCCCCUACGCCAUCAUCACAGACAAUGAGAGGCAAUUUGACAACUGCAACUUCAGGAAAUUUUACCAAAAUUUGGGGGUGGACCUGAGGUUCUGCACCCCCGUACACCCCCAGGCAAACGGACAAGUGGAAGCAGCCAACAAGGUGAUAAAGAAGCUCCUGAAGACUAGAUUGGGAGAGAAAAAGGGAGUUUGGGUUGACGAGCUACCAGGAGUACUGUGGGCCUACAGGACAACUCACAAAACCGCCACAGGGGAAACCCCGUUCGCUUUAGCUUUUGGUCAUGAGGCGGUAAUCCUAGCAGAAGUUGGAGUGGGAACACAUCGGACGGAAUAUUUCACCGAGGAGCAAAAUGACGAGCAGAUUUGCUUAAGUCUGGACCUGCUGGAGGAGAAAAGGGAAGGGGCAUUGCAGAAAGUGGCCCAGUACCAACAAAGGCUCAUGCGUUAUUACAACAAGAACGUACGCGUAAGGCAGUUCCGAGUAGGAGAUUGGGUACUUAGGAAGGUGAACCAAAACACCAGGGAUCCUAACCAUGGCGCUCUUGGCCCAAAGUGGGAAGGCCCAUACCGGGUGAUACGAGCCACUGGACCAGGAGCCUAUAAAUUAGUGUACCAAGAUGGACGAGAAGUGAAGAGGUCAUGGAACGCCGAACACCUGAAGAAGUAUUUCCAGUAAGCAAAGUGCUCUACUAAAUCCUCAUUUUGACAAGUUAUCUAUGUUAACUACAUAAUGGUUUUGCUGCACAUGUAUGUAUUCAGUAUUCUUGUAAUGCAUUCAAAUUUCAAAUAAAGAUGAAUUCAGCAUGAAAUCCCCCUGCUAGCAAGAUCAAUAAAAAUUUUACUAAGGCAAGUAAGUGCCUGCUUCUGCUCGGUCAACGAAGACCAGCAGCUAAUUUCUCGAAAGUUUCACUAAGGCAAGUAAGUGCCUGCUUCUGCUCGGUCAACGAAGACCAGCAGCUAAUUUCUCGAAUGUUUUACUAAGGCAAGUAAGUGUCUGCUUCUGCUCGGUCAACGAAGACCAGCAGCUAAUUUCUCGAAAGUUUCACUAAGGCAAGUAAGUGCCUGCUUCUGCUCGGUCAACGAAGACCAGCAGCUAAUUUCUCGAAAGUUUCACUAAGGCAAGUAAGUGCAUGCUUCUGCUCGGUCAACGAAGACCAGCAGCUAAUUUCUCGAAUGUUUUACUAAGGCAAGUAAGUGCCUGCUUCUGCUCGGUCAACGAAGACCAGCAGCUAAUUUCUCGAAAGUUUCACUAAGGCAAGUAAGUGCCUGCUUGUGCUCGGUCAACGAAGACCAGCAGCUAAUUUCUCGAAAGUUUCAUUAAGGCAAGUAAGUGCCUGCAUCUGCUCGGUCAACGAAGACCAGCAGCUAAUUUCUCGAAAGUUUCACUUAGGCAAGUAAAAGUCUGUUUCUGUUCGGUCAACAAAGACCAGCAGCUAAUUUCUCAAAAAUUCUACUAAGGCAACAAAGGGCUUGUUUCUGCUCGGUCAACGAAAGACCAGCAGCUAAAGCUACGAAAAUUCUACUAAGGCAACAAAGUGCCUGUUUCUGCUCGGUCAACGAAAGACCAGCAGCUAAAUUUACGAAACUUUUACUAAGGCAAGUAAGUGUCUGCUCCUGCUCAGUCACCGAAGACCAGCAGGCAGUUUUGCGAAAAUUUUACUAAGGCAAACGGAUGCCUAUUCCUGUUCGAUGCACUAAAGAACCAACAGGCAAAACCAGACAAGAAAGCCAAUAGAGAACAUUCAAAAAAAUUUCAUAAACGUUCAAAUGUUUACAAAGCAAAUGAAAAAAAUAGUCUGUACAAAAAUAGACCUAAGGAUUAGGAGGAUCUACGGCCUCAGCAGGUGAAGGGUCAGCUAUCUCGGGAGGUGGAAGGUCAGCAAUAUCGGGAGGAGGAGGCACGGACCCCUGUCCCACUUCAAAAACACGCUACCCAGCUUCUCCCUCCGGCACCUCAUCCAAAAGAGCCUCCACCUGCUCCUGCUCACCCUGCUCCUUGUCUACUUGGUCGACCUCCGCCAUAUACCGCUGCACUCCGGCCUCUAGCUUGCUCAUGUCCAGCUCGGGAUAUUCUGUCUUAAGCACAGACAUGAUGCACUUGUAGGAGAAGGCAACCCCAGAAUCAUACUCGGCAUCCAGCCGAUCAUCCACAUCAGCGGAUUUGCCUUUCUCCUCGGCCAGCUGCUCACCCAAGGAUUUGAUUUCCUCCUCAAGGGCAAACCUCAAAGUAUCCCUUUCAGUUUGAGUAGCCUGAAGAUCAUAUCUCAGGUCACCCAACUCGCCCUCGAGUUUGGAGGAAGUGGAUUCAGCAACCGCAACCUUCUCCUCUAGCUCCGCAAUCUGCUUGUUCAGCUCAGCCAGUUUCUCCUUGGAGCGAUCAGCAGAGUCAGCUUUCUUCUUCAAUUCAUGAUUGUCAGCUUGGAGCUUCCUCUCAUGGGGCGCGGACCCAAUCUUGUAGCACGAAACCAUGGUGGCCAGCCUGAAAGACACUCUCUGAACAGAAGCAGCUAGCUCGGAGAGGUUCAUACUCUCGAUGUCCUUCACCAUCUUGGGCCCCACCGAUUUCUUGAAAUCCUUCUGAUACAGACUCAAGUAGUCCGCUUGAUCCUGAGAAGGUAGCGGAGAAGCCCGGUCCCCAGACUGGUAGCUGACCUCAGGACUCUUAUCAGAAGUUUUCUCCCCGCCACUCUUACGGGGUGGGGGAGGGGGCAGAGCAGGGACAAGAGCCUUGGAAUGGCCGACGCUGGUUUUCUUCGAAGGAGGAGGAGGAUUGCUGAAGCUGCUCCGAGCCCGACCACGCUUCCUGCUCAUCGCGCUGAGGAUCUUAUUAUCCAUUCCAGCGGCAAUGUCCACUAGGCCCGAACCGACCAGGUUUGUUGGAGACAAGAGGUCUUGGCAAGUAGACGCGUUCACCAGAGCAGUUUCCACCUGAAGCAAAGGACGAUCUCCAAGCCCCCCGAUCAAACCCCACGACUCUGAAAUAGCAAAAGAGGUUAAAGAACUCGAUAAGUGACAAUUUGAGAAAGAAUAUAGGCAAAAAAUGAACGACCUGGGGUGACAAACUGCGUUGGAAGGUAAAUAUCACCACCCAACGAACGGAGUGCUGGACACCAAUUUACCCCAGCAAAGAAGAAUUUGUUCUUCCAAUUUUUGCACGAGGAGGGGAAACCGGUGAUUGGCUUUCCCUUCGCAGAACUGGACAUGAAGUAGUACCAGCCCGCCUCCCUUGGGCUGCUCCGCAGCUGAUACAGAUGUUUCACUUCAACAAGGGAAGGCUCCUCCAACCCGCACCUCUCCCACAACACAAACAUUGCCGAGAGAACCCUCCACCCGUUCGGGUGUAGCUGACCUGGGGCCAGGUGCAUACCUCCUAAUAUCUUGGCAAAAUAACGUUGAAGGGGCAGCCGAGCUCCUAGUUUGAAACUCUCUAGGUGCAUCGUCACAUACCCCCGCGGAGGCCGACUAGGAACAUCACCCUUCCCAGGAACUACAAGAAGAACCUCCUCAGGAAUGUCGUAGAGGUUCCUAAGCUUGAACAGGUCAGUUUGGGUGGUAGCACAGGCUAUGUAAUCAAUAGGGUAGGAAUCAGCCUCCACCCUAUGGCCAAGAUUCCUUUUCUUAGCAGGUCCGCUCGGUCCGAAACUGCUCCCUUCACCAUCACCAACUCUUUCAGGGAUCCCAACCCCACCAGAGCUGUGGUUCUCACCAGAGCCCGAAGCAGGUCCACCUCUAUUCCCUACAAGCUCUAGUUCGGGGGAGGGAGAGGCAACCAAGGGGCGUAGAUACUCAAGGGUAUCCCUGCCAUGGGAAGGACCUACACUACUGGAGGGACCUAAGAAAUCAGUGGGUAUUGACACGUUGAGGCCUGAAUCCCCUGAUUCUUCGCCACCCUCAUCAACAAUUAAUUUUCUCUUCCGGUUUGACAUAUCGAAAUCCCAAAAGAAAACAAAGAAAACUCGAAUAUACGGAUACAAAAGGGGGCAACACGGAACCCAAUCAACAACAACCAGAGAAGAGAUUAAAAGCAGUACCUGAAAUGAACUGGCCCUGAUAGCGCUGCCUUGACAGAGAAAGAACCAGCAAGUAGAAACUCCGGACGCAAGAAGUGUGAGUAAAGUUCAAAAAGAGGGUAGGUUAACGACGGAGAGACGGGUAGUAAAAGAUGACGAUAUAAGUCUAGGGAUUUGAAACGAAAAGGGGGAAAUGAAAGCAUUUAAGUGAUGGAAACGCACCGUACAUCGAGGACAGCUAGCCCGUCGUUUCAAAUUUCAAAAUACGAAGAGUCUGGGGAUGCCACGUCACCAACUGUUACAAGAGGCCAGGCUAGAUGCAAGCCCAGAUACGCAAUGGCCAUGCUCAUUUAGGCCCAUGCUCAGGUCAAAACCUCCCCUGAAGAAAAGAAAUCCUCAGGUCUGUCCUGGUAGACAGAAGACCAGAGGAGAAGCCCCCGGAUUGGCUAGAUUUGACAAUCAGUUUCUACUCUUGACUCAUUUCACUCACAAGACCAGAAAUUGGGGGACUGGUGUUAAGCAAAUAAAAGCACUAGGUCGGCCAUGCUAUUAUUUCCACCCCGGCAUGAGUCACCUCAGCCAAAUGGUACGAGCAGAACAGGGGGCAACAUGAGCCGAGCACAGACGAAUACUGACCAGAGGUAUAUACCGAGUCGAUACCCAUCCCCCAAAAAGCGGAAACACGAUCUCACAGAAUCGCGGCAGUUGCGCUUUCCCAGAACCGUUGCGGGAGACGCGACAUCCCACGUUUGUCCAUAACGCAGCAGUUAGUGUCCCAUGAGGGGCUGCCACUACCCGAAAAAGGUGGGAUGAAGGGCAAACGGAAACGUGGGGACAGCGGCUAUAAAAGAAGAAGAAAUCGACGAAGAAUGGGACAGAAAAACUGGGAGAGGGAAAACGCUGUCAAAUUGCAACCAGGCCAUUUCCUUACAAAUUUCUAACAAAUUUCUUAAAUCCAAAUUACAUUGUUUUCCCGUAAACACUGAAAUACUAACUCGGCAACCCAAGAGGGGGGGUGAAUUGGGAUUUUAAAAAUUAUCCUAGGCAAACCACACAACAAUUUAAUCUAAUGCCUUAAUAAACUAGAAAACAAUAAAUUCAAUAAAAGCACAAUAAUAAAUGAGUAAGGGAAGAGAAAGCAAACUCAAGGAUUUUUACGUGGUUCGGCAAUCCCCGCCUACGUCCACGUCUCCAAGCACACCGGGCUUGAGGAUUUCACUAAGCUAGCCUCCCAAGGCUUCAAACACUUACAAUUGACUUCCAAGGUGUCAAUGGACCUUUACAACAAGAGAUUAUCUCCAAUCUCUUAACUCAAGUGUAUCCCAACACUUAACUUCUUUUAACUUGAUUUUACAAAAAAGAUUACAAAUGAAUCCCUCUCACACAAUGUGUUUGAUCUCAAGUGAAAGCUCAAUGUGUGAAUGAAUGAGAUGAAUACAAAGAUUUAAAGCUCAAUGAAAGUUGUAUUCUCAAUAAUUUGCUCAAUGAUGAUCGUUGGAAUUCUUCUUGUUUGAAUUGGAUUGAGCUUAUUUAUAGUUGGAGCUGAAAAACUAGCCGUUAUAGAUUGUCUGCACGAAAACAGUUCGCCGUUAACCAUUAACGGUUAACCGUUUAGGCUGGUCAAAGUUACCGUUGGGCCAAUUUUCAAAUAAACGGUUAGCCGUUUAGGCUUACCCUUUCGCCGCUAAUUUCCAGAGACCUGCGAAACAAAUUUGGUUUAACUGUUCUUACUAAACGGUUCAAGGUUAGCAAUCUGGAAAUAAUCAGUUAACCGUUUUCAGUAAACGGUUCACCGUUAGUUUCCAGAAUCAUCAUUUUAACAAUACUUUGCAGAACAUGCUUUCUGGAAAUUAUCGGUUAGCCGUUUUUAAAUAAACGGUUAGCCGUUUGCUACAGUGAUUGCUACAGUAACCUGCACAGUGCAUUAUUUUCCAAAAUUACAGUUUGACCCUAAAACUUUAUAAAACUGUACUAUAGCCCAAAACGUUAUGAAACUUUGCAAAUAGGUCCAAUUUCAGAAUUUCUAAAUAAUGCUUUGUUAAUCCUAAAACUUUCUGAAAUUAUGUUAUAGCCCAAAAUGCUAUGACACUUUUCAAAUAAGUCCUUCACCAAAAUUUCAAGCAAUACUUGUUUGUUUCAAAGUUUUCAAAAUGCUUUCAAUUAAACCAUAAACUUUGAAAAACAACUAAUUUCAUAAAAUCAUUUUUCCAUUAAAUAUGAAACAUUUAUAAUGUGAAAAUAAUGAUUUAUUAUUUAAAAAGAAUAAAAACAAUCAAUUUCAUAAAAUCAUUUUUCCAUUAAAUACAAAACAUUUAUAAUGUGAAAAUAAUGAUUUAUUUAAAAAGAAUAUUAAAUAAUUUGAGCUUAAAAGAUUAAUCAUUUUUAAACUUAUUUGUUAUCAUCAAAAUCAAUAUUAUGGAAACAUAUAUGUUAACAAUCUCCCCAUUUUUGAUGAUGACAAACAUUUCAUGUAUUUAAAGAAUGAUUCCACAAAUUGCUUCCCCUAAAUAUAAUUUUCUUUUACAAUUUGCCAAUUAGCGAAGUUAAUGAUUUAAAUACAUGGAUUUUUCUCCCCCUCAUCAUCAAAAAGAAAAACUUAAUUGGCAAAGAAAAAAGUAGCAAAUUUUUAUAAAUUUAAAAACAUGUAUUCUUCUCCCCUUUCAUCAUAAAAAAGAAAACGUAAAGGAAAAGAAUAAAAGUAGCAAAUUUGUUACCCAUGUUGUUUGAGUAGAAAUUUUGAAAGAAUCUCCCACUAACAACAAGCAUUACCUCAAAUACAAGAUUAGUAAUAUUACUCCCAAAUUAUUAUACAUCAUGAUAAAAGCCAACUCCAUACACAAAUCAUCACACUAAAAUAUCAUGAAUCAUUAUUCCAUCAAUUACUAAAUCAACAACUCAUAACAUGAAAUUAUCAUAUAAAACACCCAUGUAAUCAAAUCAUCAUUAUCUCAAAUUCAUCAAAAUCAUCAUCAUAAUCAAAUAUCAAUUAUCAAAACAAUUACUCAAAAUGCAUAUUAUUCUCCUUCUUUUGACUACAUCGAAAUAAUAUAUUAUUUUGUCUCCCCCUUUGGACAACAAAAAAAAAUUAAAAUUAAAAUGCAUAUUAUCCAAGAUCAUAUUAUAUGCUCCCCCUAAAUAUAUGGCCAAUUUAAAAUUUUAACCGAAAUGAUUUUAUCCAAAAACAUAUCAUAGUUAUCUCCCCCUAUCAAUCAUCAAGAAAUUAAAUCAUUCCAAGUUUAUGCCGAAUUUUUGAAAAUUCUUCUUCGCAAAGAGGUUUUGAUUUCUUUACCAAAUUGGCAUGCAUAUUAUCAAAUAUUCAAGCUCCAUAAUUACCAAUCACAUUUUAUAAAUAAAGACAACUAAACUCAACAAAUAUCUAAUGUGACAUUUCAAUAUAACAAAAAAAAUCUCAUAUGCUUAAAAUUCUCGAAGUAUAUGUAUUUCUCCCCUUAUCGAUAUUAUUUAAAACAAGUAAUGCAUAUUUGACAAUACAUCAAUAAAGUAAAAAAAAUGCAUUCAUUCACCAAUCAUAGAUCCCAUAAGAUCAAACUUCCUCAAAUACAUGUAAUUAUCAAAGCAUAUUCUUUAUCUCAAAUCUUAAGCAAAGCAUAAGUGUAUAAUUGCAAUAUAAGAUCAUCAAAAUCAACAUAGCUAUUAAGAUAAGCCAUCAUUAUGAGUUAAGAACAAGUGAUCAAAUUCAUUAUUACAAAUGCUCACAUAUAUUUUUAAGUGAUGAUAUAGUAGUUACACCUUGUGAUGGAUCUUUCAAAAUAAAGUUCUUAAGGUGAGAAGAAACAUACCUCCACUCCUUAGGGAGUGUUUGAGAAGUACCUUCAUUUUACUCCGCAUUUGUUUCUUCAUGUUGUUCCUCUUGAUUUUCAAGUGGUGCAUUCUUUUGGCUAUCCUUUGAUAAUCUUCUUGUAACUUUUCAUCUACAUUAUCAUCAACAACAACUUUCUCCGUAGAUGAAAAAUUAGACUCAUCAAAUAUAACAUGUAUAAAUUCUUCUACAAUCAAAGAUCUUUUGUUAUACACUCCAUAAGUUUUGCUUGUGUUUGAAUAGCCAAGAAAAAUACCAACAUCAAAUUUUAGAUCAAAUUUUCCAAGAUUAUCUUUUGUACUCAAAAUAAAACAUUUGCAUCCAAAAACUUUGCAAUAACUAAUGUUGGGUUUUCUAUAAUUCCAAAGCCCAUAGAGAGUAUUAUUGAGAUGAUGUCUAAUCAAUGUGGUCCUAGCCAUUUUUUGAAUAGACCUAUUCUUUCUCUUUACAACUCCAUUUUGUUGUGGAGUCCUAAGUGAUGAAAAUUUAUGCUCAAUGGAAAAUCAUUACAAAAAAAAUCUCAAAUGCAUGAUUUUCAAAUUCUCCACCAUGAUCAUUUAUAAUACAAGAAAUAACAUAUAACUCAUCUAUCAUGCAUAUACAUCACACAAUCAUGAAAUAUGUAAGUAUUCAAAGAUUGAGAAUUAAAGCAUAUCACUUAUUUGUCAUGCUUAGGCAUUAAAUAAUCAAAACAAAUCCAUCAUGAUAAGUUGACAAGCUAUCAUCUUAUAUAUACAACCAUGCAUCAUGAUAAAACACUCAAUGUUAAACACAUUAUCCAAAUAUAAAACAUCCAAAUAUCAACCAAUAAUCAUCAUCAAUCCACAAUGAAAGCAACAAUGCAUAUGAAAAUGUAAGUGCAUAAUAUAAUAGAAAACUAUGGUAAAAUCCAUAAGGAGAGCUCAUUAUAAAAGUGGUAAUUUGAAAUACUCAAAAUGCACAAAUUCGGAUUUUCAAAAUAAAGAGUAAGUUUGAAUCAAUUAAAAUGAUUUUAGAAAUGAAGAGAAAUUUGAAUGAAAAUAGAGGUGAGCAGCUCACGGUUUUGGAGAGAGAAAGAACAUGUGAAGACCGAAUGAGGAAGAAAGAUGAAUAGUGCUAAUAAACCUCCGAAUUCGGCUUGCCGGAUUUGUGAUCCGGUUGGCCAGAUAUUGGCCCGAGAGUGAGAAGCACGAAUUCGGCUUGCCGGUUUGCAUAAUCGGCUAGCCGGUUUCGAGACAGAUUUGUGACUCCACAAAUUCGGCUUGCCGGAUUUUGAAGAACCGGAAAUCUGGUUAUGUUCCAGAGAGGUCUUCACUUGAAUCCGGUUAUCCGAAUGUUGUCCCAAGAGCAACCAAAGCUAAUCCGGUUUUCCGGAUUGAAAAUCCAGUUAUCCGGAAUUUGACCCGAGAGAAAUCAAUAAGAAAGCGGUUUUCCGGAUUAGAGAAAGUGAUAAACCGAUUUAGUCAUUGGAAAUCUAUUUGGCUCUAAUUGAUUUUUGGCAAGCUUUUAUACUUGAACUACACACACCAUUUUAUUUUUGGCUUUAAAAAUUGAUUAAUUUUUUAAUCAUUUUGAGAUUUAAAACUUUUCAAUAAGCCAAUUAGUGCAUGAAACAUAUAUGCAUACAAGACCAAACAUAUGAAAUCAUAUCAAACAAUGAUGUCAAUUUUAUAAAUGAAUGAUGAUAUAACACAAUUAAUGGCAUAUGAAUUCACUCAUAUAUAAGAGAUGGACAAUGAUGAUAGACAAUUAAGAAGAUGAAAUCAUAGACUAUACAAUCAUCAAAAUCAAACAAAGGCAUCAUGAUAAAUCACUCAAUAUUAUACACAAUGAUAAUUCCAUCAUGUAAACAUACAAGCAUACUUUCGCAAUUUCAUUUAUAAUGAUUCAUUCAACAAAAUUAAUAUGGCAAGAAUUGUUACCAAAACAAUUAAAUCAUCUUGCCUCAUCUUUUUCUCCUAGCUGAUACUCAAGUGAAUAUCCUCACAAGCUUUCAUCAAGGAACUUCUCCACCAUUCCUUGAUUGUGGUACCUACAAAACAAAUUCAAGUUGUACCCUUUGGUACCCAAAUAUUCUUGGGUCCUUGAGUGUUAGCAAUGGUUCCUUUUGGAACCCAAAUACACUUGACUCCAUAAUAUACAUGUCUCUUAAUUGGACAUUUAUUCUUCAUAUGACCAUUUUGAUUGCAAUAAUGACAAACAAUUUUAUGAUCACUUGUGGAGGUAGCCUUAACAAAAUAAUUCUUAUAAUAUUUUUGUUUCAAAUAAGGCUUAUACCCAAGUCCUCCUUUAUCAAACACACAUUUUUGAGUGCUUAGUAAUUUUUCUAAGUUCUUUUGACCAUUUGUGAAUUUUAACACAAUUUCAUUGAGCUCAUUACUCUUUUUCUUAAGCACAUCCUUUUCAUUCAUCAAUUUAUCAACAUGUGAUUUUUCAUGCUCAUACGAAAUACUUUGUUGACAUUUAAAUGAUGCAAUCCUAUCAUGUAACAAUUUAUUAUCCAACUCUAGUCCUUUAAUCUUUUCAUUUAAUGAAUCAUUGCAUUUCUGUAAAGCAUCAUUUUCAUUUUUCAAGUCAUCUACAUAUGAUUCUAGAUGCUAAUGUGAAGUGCUAAGUUUCUCAUUUGAUAAUGCAACUCUAUUAUGCAAGGUUUUAUUAUCUAAUUAUAAUCCUUUAAUCUUCUCAUUCAAUGACUCAUUGCAUUUUUGCAUGGCAUCCUUUUCAUUUGUAGAUUCUAGCAAUUUCGUUUUAAGGCAUGCAUUCUUUUUACCAAAUUUCAUCAACUCAUCAUGCAUUUCUUUAAAAGCAUCAUACAAUUCAUCAUAGGUUGGAUCACUUACCUCAUCAAGUUCAUCAUCUGAUUCAUCUCCAAUUGCCAUAAGUGCCAAAUUCGACACUUCAUGAAAUUCCUCCUCGUUUGUAGUCUCCUCAUACACAAUUUCAAGUUUUCUCCAAAUUUCAUAAGCAUUAGAACAAUUUGAAACUCUAUGAAAUUCAUUUUUAUCUAAGGCACAAAAUAAAGCAUUCAUAGCCUUGGAAUUUAAAGACAUAUUUUUCUUAUCCAACUCACUUAAAGCAUUCUUUCUAGGAAUGAAUAAAUCAUUACAAACAACUUCCCAAAUUUCAUAAUCUAAAGCUUGUAAAUAAAUUCUCAUCCUAGUUUUCCAAUAAGGAUAAUCAUUUCCAUCGAAAAAUGGAGGUCUAGUGAUAGAUUGGCCUUCCAUGAUGGUUGAGCUAAUUUGGGUUGCUAUGGAUCUUUAACUCUAGACGGUUAAGUCUACACAAGAGCACCUUGCUCUGAUACCAAAUGAAAUACUAACUAGGCAACCCAAGAGGGGGGGUGAAUUGGGAUUUUAAAAAUUAUCCUAGGCAAACCACACAACAAUUUAAUCUAAUGCCUUAAUAAAUUAGAAAACAAUAAAUUCAAUAAAAGCACAAUAAUAAAUGAGUAAGGGAAGAGAAAGCAAACUCAAGAAUUUUUACGUGGUUCGGCAAUCCCCGGCUACGUCCACGCCUCCAAGCACACCGGGCUUGAGGAUUUCACUAAGCUAGCCUCCCAAGGCUUCAAACGCUUACAAUUGACUUCCAAGGUGUCAAUGGACCUUUACAACAAGAGAUUAUCUCCAAUCUCUUAACCCAAGUGUAUCCCAACACUUACAAUCUUUUAACUUGAUUUUACAAAAAAGAUUACAAAUGAAUCCCUCUCACACAAUGUGUUUGAUCUCAAGUGAAAGCUCAAUGUGUGAAUGAAUGAGAUGAAUACAAAGAUUUAAAGCUCAAUGAAAGUUGUAUUCUCAAUAUUUUGCUCAAUGAUGAUCGUUGGAAUUCUUCUUGUUUGAAUUGGAUUGAGCUUAUUUAUAGUUGGAGCUGAAAAACUAGCCGUUAUAGAUUGUCUGCACGAAAACGGUUCGCCGUUAACCAUUAACGGUUAACCGUUUAGGCUGGUCAAAGUUACCGUUGGGCCAAUUUUCAAAUAAACGGUUAGCCGUUUAGGCUUACCCUUUCGCCGUUAAUUUCCAGAGACCUGCGAAACAAAUUUGGUUUAACCGUUCUUACUAAACGGUUCAAGGUUAGCAAUCUGGAAAUAAUCGGUUAACCGUUUUCAGUAAACGGUUCACCGUUAAUUUCCAGAAUCAUCAUUUUAACAAUACUUUGCAGAACAUGCUUUUUGGAAAUUAUCGGUUAGCCGUUUUUAAAUAAACGGUUAGCCGUUUGCUACAAUGAUUGCUACAGUAACCUGCACAGUGCAUUAUUUUCCAAAAUUAUAGUUUGACCCUAAAACUUUACAAAACUCUACUAUAGCCCAAAACGUUAUGAAACUUUGCAAAUAGGUCCAAUUUUAGAAUUUCUAAGUAAUGCUUUGUUAAUCCCAAAACUUUCUGAAAUUAUGUUAUAGCCCAAAAUGCUAUGACACUUUUCAAAUAAGUCCUUCACCAAAAUUUCAAGCAAUACUUGUUUGUUUCAAAGUUUUCAAAAUACUUUCAAUUAAACCAUAAACUUUGAAAAACAACCAAUUUCAUAAAAUCAUUUUUCCAUUAAAUAUGAAACAUUUAUAAUGUGAAAAUAAUUAUUUAUUGAAAAAGAAUAAAAACAAUCAAUUUCAUAAAAUCAUUUUUCCAUUAAAUACAAAACAUUUAUAAUGUGAAAAUAAUGAUUUAUUUAAAAAGAAUAUUAAAUAAUUUGAGCUUAAAAGAUUAAUCAUUCUUAAACUUAUUUGUUAUCAUCAAAAUCAAUAUUAUGGAAACAUAUAUGUUAACACCUUAUGCUAACUUAGGCAUCGGAGGGUUUACGCCGGCAAAACCACCGGCGUCUCUGACCCAUUUUUGUGAACGCAGGUCUAGUGAGAGAAAGGAGGGUGAUUCCAACCCUAGUGGUUCGAGUAAACAGUCGAUAACAUAAGCGUUGGUGACAGAAUCUGGUCGGUCCAAGGGCGAGCAGAUUUCAGCAUCAACAGUCACUAACAAUUUUUUUUUCUCCAUUUUCUAUUUUACGGGUAUUAGCAACCAAAGAUUCUUUUUGUUUGUCAAAGCACUCUCUGCAUCCACCAUCAAAAUUAUCCGAUGAGAUUUAAGCCUUCAUUCUAGUUCAUUCUAGUUUCCCCACUUAAACAAAUUUUUAAAAUGUUUAGUUCCAAGAUUAACCAAAUUUGGCACUAAAACAAUAUAAAUUAUAUUAUUUUUAUCGAAAUACUAUUUUAAAAAAAAACUAACAUCGUAACUAACGAUCAGAAGAAAAAAGAAAUGAGAUUACUCUACCAAUUGUUUGAAAUAAUUUUUGAAUACCUUAUAGGGUAAAUUUCUUAUUAUCCCCUAGUGUUUAUUAUCUUCAAAUCACUUUUUUAUUUAUGAAAAUCUCAAAUUACCCUAUUUUAAUUCAAAAGAUAAAGGAAACCCAAAAGCGAAAUGAUCUAAUUACCAUCCUUCUUUUUCUAGGAGUGGUUGAUGAAUUUUUUUUUCUCAAUAAAAAUGAAGGAUAAAUUAAAGUCUUUAAAAAAUAAUGGUUACUUAAAAAGAGUAAAUUAAAAAAAAUUUAAAAAUAUAGGUGAUUUAAAGAUAGUCAAUUCACCGUAGAUAAUCGAAAAUUCUUCCUAAUUUAUACAAUUCUGAGGAUAUUGUUUUGUGACUUAUGAUGAACGACAUUCAACUUUAAUUUAGAUGCAAUGGAAGUGGCGUAAAUCGUGCUUUACUUUUUAUUUUAUUCCCCAGCCCCCAACCCCACCACACCCCAACCACCCCCCCCCCCCCCCCCAAAAUCGAUUUUUCUCGUUCAAUUUCGAUUAAGGGUAAUAACGGAAAUGUGAAAGUGCAGGUUUAUAAGGAUAGCUGGGGGUGUGAAAAGCAUUACUCAUAAUCAUUAUACAAUAUUUGCACAGAAAGCGAGCAGGCUUUGUACAUAAAUUCAGAACAGUGGCAAAUAGAUCGAUCUGGGCUUUUGUAGCAAAUGAAGCAAAGGAAGUUUUUUGGGCUUGUGAUCUGCAUCGUAGAGAUGCCGGUAGCGCAUGCUAAUCUUCACAUAUGAAUAAGAAUCGGCUUCAAAUAAGAGAUCCUUUUUCUCUUUCCCGUUUUCGGUAGUGCUGGCAAAAUGGGUCAUUGGGUCGUAUUCAUAUCGUGUCAGUUUCAUGUCAUGUUAAAUUUAAGUUGACUUAAAUCUGACCCAUUUAAUAAUCGUGUCAAAAUAUUGAGACCUAAACCCGACACAAAAAAAUAAUCGAAUUACCCAAUAACCCGCUUAAUGUCUAUAUAUUAAACAAAAGUUACAUCAAAUAUUUACACAUUGUCAUAAAUACGUAUGCGCAUACAUACAUACAUACAUAAUUUAUCGAUAUUAUAAAAUAUAUAUAUUUACUAAAAUAUUACACACACUAUUGAUGUUUUAAUU
rnacentral:lncRNA from 1 species